CCCUUAGAUGUUCUGGGCCGCACGCGCGCUACACUGAUGCAUUCAACGAGUCUAAAACCUGCUCUGAUAGGGGUGGGUAAUCUUUUGAAUGUGCAUCGUGAUUGGGAUAGAUGAUUGCAAUUUUUCAUCUUCAACGAGGAAUGCCUAGUAAACGCAAGUCAUCAGCUUGCAUUGAUUACGUCCCUGCCCUUUGUACACACCGCCCGUCGCUCCUACCGAUUGAAUGAUCCGAUGAAUAUCAUGGAUUGAGGAUGCAAGUAGGUUCGCCUAUCUUCAUCUUCGAGAAGUGAAGUAAAUCUUAUCAUGUAGAGGAAGGAGAAGUCGUAACA
rnacentral:rRNA from 1 species